CAAGAGAGAAAAGACAUUUUAAAAGAGAGAGAAGAGAGAGAGAGAGAGGGAGAGAAGAAUAAUUUUUCACCCCUCAUUUGAUUCUCCAACAACCAAUUUUCUCUUUUCCUUUCUUUUUCCUUUUUCUCUCUUUC
rnacentral:ribozyme from 13 species